UCGACGAGAGAAUUGCUAGCUUGCUAAUAAUUCUCUAGUGGCGCACGGGUGAGUAACACGUGAGUAACCUGCCCCCGAGAGCGGGAUAGCCCUGGGAAACUGGGAUUAAUACCGCAUAGUAUCGAAAGAUUAAAGCAGCAAUGCGCUUGGGGAUGGGCUCGCGGCCUAUUAGUUAGUUGGUGAGGUAACGGCUCACCAAGGCGAUGACGGGUAGCCGGUCUGAGAGGAUGUCCGGCCACACUGGAACUGAGACACGGUCCAGACACCUACGGGUGGCAGCAGUCGAGAAUCAUUCACAAUGGGGGAAACCCUGAUGGUGCGACGCCGCGUGGGGGAAUGAAGGUCUUCGGAUUGUAAACCCCUGUCAUGUGGGAGCAAAUUAAAAAGAUAGUACCACAAGAGGAAGAGACGGCUAACUCUGUGCCAGCAGCCGCGGUAAUACAGAGGUCUCAAGCGUUGUUCGGAAUCACUGGGCGUAAAGCGUGCGUAGGCUGUUUCGUAAGUCGUGUGUGAAAGGCGCGGGCUCAACCCGCGGACGGCACAUGAUACUGCGAGACUAGAGUAAUGGAGGGGGAACCGGAAUUCUCGGUGUAGCAGUGAAAUGCGUAGAUAUCGAGAGGAACACUCGUGGCGAAGGCGGGUUCCUGGACAUUAACUGACGCUGAGGCACGAAGGCCAGGGGAGCGAAAGGGAUUAGAUACCCCUGUAGUCCUGGCAGUAAACGGUGCACGCUUGGUGUGCGGGGAAUCGACCCCCUGCGUGCCGGAGCUAACGCGUUAAGCGUGCCGCCUGGGGAGUACGGUCGCAAGAUUAAAACUCAAAGAAAUUGACGGGGACCCGCACAAGCGGUGGAGUAUGUGGCUUAAUUC
rnacentral:rRNA from 1 species